rnacentral:tRNA from 1 species
GGGAGAAUAGCUUAACUGGUAGAGCUGGGUCGAAAGCCUGAGUGUAGGUUCGAGUCCUACUUCUUCAAGACCGA